UACGUAGGGGGCUAGCGUUGUCCGGAAUCAUUGGGCGUAAAGCGCGUGUAGGCGGUUCGGUAAGUCUGCUGUGAAAGUCGGGGGCUCAACCCUCGAAUGCCGGUGGAUACUGUCGGACUAGAGUGCGGAAGAGGCGAGUGGAAUUCCUGGUGUAGCGGUGAAAUGCGCAGAUAUCAGGAGGAACACCAAUUGCGAAGGCAGCUCGCUGGGCGUUACUGACGCUGAGACGCGAAAGCGUGGGGAGCAAACAGG
rnacentral:rRNA from 1 species